rnacentral:rRNA from 1 species
GGGGACUAUUGCACAAUGGGCGAAAGCCUGAUGCAGCGACGCCGCGUGAGGGAUGACGGCCUUCGGGUUGUAAACCUCUUUCAGCAGGCAAGAGGUGAAAGUGACGGUACCUGCAGCACAAUCGCCCGCUAACUACGUGCCAGCAGCCGCGGUAAUACGUAGCGGACAAGCGUUGUCCGGAUUUACUGGGCGUAAAGGGCACGCAGGCGGUUUUUUAAGUCAGAUGUGAAAGGUACCGGCUCAACCGGUAACAUGCAUUUGAAACUGAAAGACUUGAGUAUUGGAGAGGCAAGUGGAAUUCCUAGUGUAGCGGUGAAAUGCGUAGAUAUUAGGAGGAACACCGGUGGCGAAGGCGGCUUGCUGGACAAAUACUGACGCUGAGGUGCGAAAGCGUGGGGAGCAAACA